CACCUGAUCCCAUGCCGAACUCAGAAG
rnacentral:rRNA from 1 species